rnacentral:rRNA from 1 species
AGGAAAAGAAACUAACAAGGAUUCCCCUAGUAACGGCGAGCGAACAGGGAAGAGCUCAAAUUUGAAAUCUGGCGUCCUCCGGGCGUCCGAGUUGUAAUCUAUAGAGACGUUUUCCGUGCCGGACCGUGUCCAAGUUCCUUGGAACAGGAUAUCAAAGAGGGUGACAAUCCCGUACUUGACACGACGACCGGUGCUCUGUGAUACGUUUUCUACGAGUCGAGUUGUUUGGGAAUGCAGCUCAAAAUGGGUGGUGAGUUCCAUCUAAAGCUAAAUAUUGGCGAGAGACCGAUAGCGAACAAGUACCGUGAGGGAAAGAUGAAAAGCACUUUGGAAAGAGAGUUAAACAGUACGUGAAAUUGUUAAAAGGGAAACGAUUGAAGUCAGUCGUGUCUGGGAGGCUCAGCCGGUUCUGCCGGUGUAUUCCUCUCAGACGGGUCAACAUCAGUUUUGUCCGACGGAUAAUGGCGGCGGGAAAGUAGCACCUCCGGGUGUGUUAUAGCCCGCUGUCGCAUACGCCGGAUGAGACUGAGGCAUGCAGCUCGCCUUUAUGGCAGGGGUUCGCCCACUUUCGAGCUUAGGAUGUUGACGUAAUGGCUUUAAACGACCCGUCUUG